UCAUCAUUGGCUCUCAAAUGCAUUUGAUUGCCCAUCUACAUUUGGCUUUGUUUGUUUUGACGUAAAAUAUUUUCUGUGGAUAACUACAUCAAUUUCCGGUGCUUGUCUGGACAAAGUGGAGUAAAAGAUUUGUUCGUGCAUAUAUUAUUCAUGGAGGAAAUCAAUGAUGACUUACAUUACCCUUAUUCUAGUAACACAAGAAAGCAUUGAAACUGCAUGAUUGAUUUCUGCAAAGGAGACUUUAUGUUGAGCUUGGGCGUAGUAGUUGGUUAAAUAACUUAAACUUGUAAAGAGACGAGUAGACUGCAGUUAUGGGAAAUAUAGUUGUAACAUCAACCAGACAACUGAAAUAUCUUUCAGAAUGGAAAAUAAUGUUUGAUAUAAAAUGAUUUAUGUUGAAACAAAUGGAGCCGUAGUGUUUGUUGUGAGUUGUGACGAGCACCUGAACUAUGAGUUAUUUUAAGUAGAUGACUGUACAGUUGACUUCUCGGGUGUGAAAUUUGGUUUUGUUGUCAAUUCUGGUAGGACUUUUAUCAUUCGUUGCUUACGACCAAAGAUAGUACUCCUGGAUGUCUAGCCCGAAGCGUAGGGCUUUCUAGUCGUUUGCAGAAUAACUCGGUAGGACCGAGAUCGGACCACAGGGAGCUCAAAUAUAGCUAGUUCGGAUUGUAGGCUUUAUGUAAGGUUUGCGGCGUUUAGACGGCCAACUGUCGGUUUUGCUUUGAAAAGUGAAAUACUCUUAUAAAAAGACUUGAAAUGAGGUUUAAACUUAGAUAAAAAGGCAGUAAGAUUGAGGGGAUUAAACCACCCGUGACUUAGCCGUUUUUACCGUUUCUUUCUAACAACUCAAGGUCAAGACAUAGACAAUCUUGAACCCGAAGCACUCAACGUUAAAAGCUAAGCGUAAUCAUGGAUUUAGUUCGGAAAUAGCUUAAUCUCGUUUAGUAAACAUUUAAUUCAAAUACCCGGAGCGUUAAAGCUCCAAGCACUGUGUGCGACAAGUAGGUUAAAACUCCGGCCAACACACGAUCAAAAAGGGUAAUAGCUUUAAGGUUUGGCCGGAAAUCAGAGAUCAAGUCUUUCCUCACUAAACCAUGAUCAAGUUAUAGUUAAACCAUUAAAACUACUAAGGCAUGGUAUAGAGAUCACCCCAUGACCAAGCCUGAGUGACUACUCACACAUGCUUAAAGAACGAGUCAUAGAGCUAAAAAUGACAAACAUGAUUAACCGAUAAAAACGGAAAUAAACUUGAUUUAUACGAAGAUCCAACACGUAGCUACAACUUUAAUAAAUGGGAAAAUAAUGUACGACAAAUACAUUAAGGUGUUCUUCAAAGAUUACACUAGAAAAGCUUGAAACUUAGCUAUGGAGAUUUCCUUGAAAGAUGACGACUUAAAGCAUAAAGGUACAUCCUUGCCAAAUAUGGCAUACAAAUCUAUUUAUAUGGCUGGUAAAUCACCCUUACAAAAGACCAAAAGGUCCCAAAAUAUCCCAAAAACAAGCCAUAAGUGGAAACUUUCCAUUAAUAGAAGGUUGAACAAGUCAGCACAAAAAUCUGGACGAAGGGCAUAGGUACCAAUACCUAUAUUUUGAGGUAUCGGUACCUACAGGUCUGUUCAGUACUGGAGUCAAAAGGUAUCAAUACCUCAUUUUCUAGGUACCGAUACCUUUGCUGCAAUUUUGCAGAUCAAGGCAGCUAGCUUCACAAGUCCUUUGACGGCCCCAAUGACCUUCCAAUGCUUCUUUACUUGAUCCUCGGGACUUGACGGAGGAGUGUCAACGUGACCUUGGUCUCUCGGAUGCCCUCUAGGGCUACCCUCGAUGCUUUGUCUUCGCUUCCUUAGCUUUGGAUCGCCUAUUUGACACUUGAGUCUCCGGGCAUCCCCCGAGACUUCUUGUCGUGCCUUUAGGUCUCGGUGACGAUGAGGCACAUGCCUUCGGGCACUUGGAUACUUGGUUGCACCCGGAGCAUUCCUUGGCAUUCAAACAUGCCUUGUUAGCACGUUUUACUUGAAACAUCCUCAAACAAACCUUACAUUCAAUUCUAUUCAAAACAAGCUAUUUAAGCGUAAAAGCAAGACAUAAAAGAGGACUAAAGCACCAAGAUUACACAAUAUUGGGUGCUUAUCAUUCGUGUAUGAUGGUGUUUGAGCGAUGCUAUGCGAUUGCUGAAUGUGUUUGAUACGGAAAAGUUUUGCCUUUAGAGCCCCAAUGUUCUGUGGUGAGUCAAAACAGCUUCAGAUGACCCUGGUACUUGUGAUGGUGUUUGACCGAUGCUAUGAUUACUGAAUGUCUUCAAACCCCCACCCACCAAAAACACACCAAAAAGGCUGAGGAGUUUCCAAGAGAAAGAUUUAGUUAGAAAGUGCAUAUUGUUUUAACAGAAGCAAAAACACUACUCGUUAAAUAUUAUGCCUUUAGAGCCCCAAAGUUCUGCGGUCAGUCCAAACAGCUUGAGAUGACCCUGGUACUUGUGAAGUGUGACCUUUCGGAGUAAAUUUCUACCAUGAAGCUUGGAUCUUCGCUUUUGGGGUACAACUUCAUGCUCAACUACACACAAGAUGUUAGUUGGACAAGUAAUACAGGUAGUUCUGUAAGGCUGUAACCUGAAUUCUAUACCACUCCUCUUUGGGGCGGCAGUUUAUUCAAUAAAGCUUAUAGCUGGUGGAGUUAAUACUAACUGUAUGAAACCAGUAAAACAAAUGGCAAGUCCAAGUCGCUUAUGACUUUUGAGUAAAGUAGAAUCAAGUGAUAACAGGACAAUCAGCUCUCCAAUCCCCUUUAGACGAAAGUUGUGGAUUUUCAUGAAAAUUUAUAACUUUAUAACUGAUGGGUGCCCCAGUAAUUAAAUGGUUAAACCAAAAGAUAGAAUUGUGUUGACUGUUAGUGCAAUGUUAAAGUCAUGUCUUCUAUUUUCUUGCCGCUCCAGCGAACUGAAGGGGGGGGGGGGCGAUGUUAUGUGUAACUCCAAUAUAUUUUCCAUCCAUCCGUCCUUCCUAUAUACUACCUAGCAAUUUUGUCUCUCAUUAAUAAACAAGAACUCCAGAUUGUAACUUGUUCAAUUGGUUCUUAAAUUGACUAUUCAUCUGCAAUGCUUAUAUUUGUUGACCUCCUGAGUCUGUAAUUUUUGCUAUUUAUUCAGCCUUUUGGGUUUUCUUCCUUGCCGUUGGAAACUUAAACGUUUCAUUUUUGU